UGGACAGAUUAUAGUAUUCGACUGUAUUCACGGCGUGAAAUAGGGGAUUACACUGUUUUUAAAACGGAAAGUGAAUCAAUUAACAUAGUAGACUCCU
rfam:Nicotiana attenuata strain TT scaffold02941, whole genome shotgun sequence.